UCCCUAGUGGUCCAGUGGUUAGGGCUUCUCGCUUCCACUGAAGGGGGCACAGGUUCAAUCCCUGGUUGGGGAA
rnacentral:tRNA from 1 species